GAGCUUUUGAGUAUUUGGCCGAAGUCGAUACGAAGUCACUUUAAUCGAUUUUCAAUUCUCGAUUUAUUUAACCAAUAUCCAACAAUCCCCCACAUGAAUGGAAAUUUCUCGAUAUGCGCAACACAAUGCGAAUGCAAUGCAAAUGAAAUGCAGACUCUAACAAAUGGAGUACACACGACAAGUCAUAGCAUCAAGAUAGGUAGCUUGUGGCCUUGAACCUUCUUUAGUUGAAUACAAUC
rnacentral:lncRNA from 1 species